GAUGAACGCUGGCGGCGUGCCUAAUACAUGCAAGUCGAGCGAACAGACGAGGAGCUUGCUCCUCUGACGUUAGCGGCGGACGGGUGAGUAACACGUGGAUAACCUACCUAUAAGACUGGGAUAACUUCGGGAAACCGGAGCUAAUACCGGAUAAUAUAUUGAACCGCAUGGUUCAAUAGUGAAAGACGGUUUUGCUGUCACUUAUAGAUGGAUCCGCGCCGCAUUAGCUAGUUGGUAAGGUAACGGCUUACCAAGGCGACGAUGCGUAGCCGACCUGAGAGGGUGAUCGGCCAAACUGGAACUGAGACACGGUCCAGACUCCUACGGGAGGCAGCAGUAGGGAAUCUUCCGCAAGGGGCGAAAGCCUGACGGAGCAACGCCGCGGGAGUGAUGAAGGUCUUCGGAUCGUAAAACUCUGUUAUUAGGGAAGAACAAAUGUGUAAGUAACUAUGCACGUCUUGACGGUACCUAAGCAGAAAGCCACGGCUAACUACGU
rnacentral:rRNA from 1 species